AUUGAACGCUGGCGGCAUGCUUUACACAUGCAAGUCGAACGGUAACAGGCCUUCGGGCGCUGACGAGUGGCGAACGGGUGAGUAAUGCAUCGGAACGUGCCCAGUCGUGGGGGAUAACGCAGCGAAAGCUGUGCUAAUACCGCAUACGAUCUAUGGAUGAAAGCGGGGGACCGUAAGGCCUUGCGCGAUUGGAGCGGCCGAUGUCAGAUUAGGUAGUUGGUGGGGUAAAGGCUCACCAAGCCAACGAUCUGUAGCUGGUCUGAGAGGACGACCAGCCACACUGGAACUGAGACACGGUCCAGACUCCUACGGGAGGCAGCAGUGGGGAAUUUUGGACAAUGGGCGCAAGCCUGAUCCAGCAGUGCCGCGUGCAGGAAGAAGGCCUUCGGGUUGUAAACUGCUUUUGUACGGAACGAAACGGCGAGCUCUAAUACAGUUUGCUAAUGACGGUACCGUAAGAAUAAGCACCGGCUAACUACGUGCCAGCCGCCGCAGUAACAC
rnacentral:rRNA from 1 species